GACGAACGCUGGCGGCGUGCUUAACACAUGCAAGUCGAACGGAAAGGCCCUGCUUGCAGGGUACUCGAGUGGCGAACGGGUGAGUAACACGUGGGUGAUCUGCCCUGCACUUCGGGAUAAGCCUGGGAAACUGGGUCUAAUACCUGAUAGGAGCCAUUUUUAGUGUGAUGGGUGGAAAGUUUUUUCGGUGUAGGAUGAGCUCGCGGCCUAUCAGCUUGUUGGUGGGGUAAUGGCCUACCAAGGCGGCGACGGGUAGCCGGCCUGAGAGGGUGGACGGCCACAUUGGGACUGAGAUACGGCCCAGACUCCGACGGGAGGAAGCAGGGGGGAAUAUUGCACAAGGGGCGCAAGCCUGAUGCAGCGACGCCGCGGGGGGGAUGACGGCCUUCGGGUUGGAAACUCCUUUCGCUAGGGACGAAGCUUUUUGUGACGGUACCUAGAGAAGAAGCACCGGCUAACUACGUG
rnacentral:rRNA from 1 species